rnacentral:lncRNA from 1 species
UCCAAGGCAGGCCAACAUAUUGAAAUAAUAGCUACAAAACUCCUAACCUUCUUUGGGGGUCAUACACAGCAUACUAUACUUGGGAAUGGCAUUCUGACACAUUUAUUACAUAAUAAUGCUAUUAUAUGUAAUGCUAUUCUGACACAUUUGUUAGGUAACAUUAAUGGCUUUGAGUGGGACUUAGAACAAGAAAAGGCUCUGAAACAGAUCCAAGAUGUUGUUUGAGCCAUGCAACUAGAAGAUCUCAUAGAACUAAAGUUAUCUAAUUUACAGAAAAGGUUUUACGUGACGUCUAUUGUACAGAUUCAUAUGAAAACCAUAGUUCAAACUCCAAGGUUUAAGAAGUAAGAAAGAUCAUGCCAUUUGCAACAAACAUGCAUGCAUAUUUGAAAAGCAACUGUAAGUAUGCUAUUGGACAUUGGUAAAGAUUGAAUAUCUGACCAUGGCAUAUCAAGAAACCAUGGAAUGAGUACUGCUUAUCAAGAUCUGGGUGUGAGAAGACUUAAAAAGUCAGAUAGUCAGUGAGAACCAGCUAGAAUCCAUGGCUGUGCUAAUGGUCUAUCAAGAUAUCCUGAGUUUCCAGUAGAGAUGUUUCAGCCAUAACACAGGCCUGGUAGAAAAAGCCUGAAGACAAAUACUGCUAUGAAUGGUUACAUCUAGGACUUCUGAAAUUAGCCCCAGAUUCAACUCAUUUUUUUCUGCAUUUGCUGAGCAAUAUGACAUGUUUACACCGAUUAGCUAAAAAGUUAUGUGAAGAAUGGGCAACAAUAUCUCUAA